rnacentral:rRNA from 1 species
GACGAACGCUGGCGGCGUGCCUAAUACAUGCAAGUAGGACGCACAGUUUAUACCGUAGCUUGCUACACCAUAGACUGUGAGUUGCGAACGGGUGAGUAACGCGUAGGUAACCUGCCUAUUAGAGGGGGAUAACUAUUGGAAACGAUAGCUAAUACCGCAUAACAGUAUGUAACACAUGUUAGAUGCUUGAAAGAUGCAAUUGCAUCGCUAGUAGAUGGACCUGCGUUGUAUUAGCUAGUAGGUAGGGUAAUGGCCUACCUAGGCGACGAUACAUAGCCGACCUGAGAGGGUGAUCGGCCACACUGGGACUGAGACACGGCCCAGACUCCUACGGGAGGCAGCAGUAGGGAAUCUUCGGCAAUGGGGGGAACCCUGACCGAGCAACGCCGCGUGAGUGAAGAAGGUUUUCGGAUCGUAAAGCUCUGUUGUUAAGGAAGAAACGAGUGUGAGAAAUGGAAAA